rnacentral:tRNA from 3 species
GAAGUUAUAGUCAAAGAUGAUAUCUGGGUUGCAUUCAGAGGGUGCUCUCUAAGAGCUAACUUUA